rnacentral:misc_RNA from 1 species
GAUGAAGAACGCAGCGAAAUGCGAUAAGUAGUGUGAAUUGCAGAAUUCAGUGAAUCAUCGAAUCUUUGAACGCACAUUGCGCCCCUUGGUAUUCCAUGGGGCAUGCCUGUUCGAGCGUCAUUUGUACCUUCAAGCUCUGCUUGGUGUUGGGUGUCUGUCUCGCCUCUGCGUGUAGACUCGCCUCAAAACAAUUGGCAGCCGGCGUAUUGAUUUCGGAGCGCAGUACAUCUCGCGCUUUGCACUCAUAACGACGACGUCCAAAAGUACAUUUUUACACUCUUGACCUCGGAUCAGGUAGGGAUACCCGCUGAACUUAAGCAUAUCAAUAAGCGGAGGA